CUACGGGUGGCAGCAGUGAGGAAUUUUGCGCAAUGGGGGAAACCCUGACGCAGCAACGCCGCGUGAGUGAUGAAGGCCUUCGGGUCGUAAAACUCUGUCAAGUGGGACGAACCUAUGUAAGGUUAAUACCCUUAUGUACUGACGGUACCACUGAAGGAAGCACCGGCUAACUCCGUGCCAGCAGCCGCGGUAAUACGGAGGGUGCAAGCGUUAUUCGGAAUUAUUGGGCGUAAAGGGCGCGCAGGCGGUUUUGUAAGUCAGAUGUGAAAGCCCGGGGCUUAACCUCGGAAGUGCAUUUGGUACUGCAAGACUUGAGUAUGGGAGGGGGAAGUGGAAUUCCUGGUGUAGAGGUGAAAUUCGUAGAUAUCAGGAGGAACACCAGUGGCGAAGGCGACUUCCUGGACCAAUACUGACGCUGAGGCGCGAAGGCGUGGGGAGCAAACAGGAUUAGAUACCCGAGUAGUC
rnacentral:rRNA from 1 species